CCAGACUCCUACGGGAGGCAGCAGUGGGGAAUAUUGCACAAUGGGGGAAACCCUGAUGCAGCGACGCCGCGUGAGUGAAGAAGUAUUUCGGUAUGUAAAGCUCUAUCAGCAGGGAAGAAAAUGACGGUACCUGACUAAGAAGCCCCGGCUAACUACGUGCCAGCAGCCGCGGUAAUACGUAGGGGGCAAGCGUUAUCCGGAUUUACUGGGUGUAAAGGGAGCGUAGACGGCAUGGCAAGUCAGAUGUGAAAGCCCGGGGCUCAACCCCGGGACUGCAUUUGAAACUGUCAGGCUGGAGUGCAGGAGAGGUAAGUGGAAUUCCUAGUGUAGCGGUGAAAUGCGUAGAUAUUAGGAGGAACACCAGUGGCGAAGGCGGCUUACUGGACUGUAACUGACGUUGAGGCUCGAAAGCGUGGGGAGCAAACAGGAUUAGAUACCCCAGUA
rnacentral:rRNA from 1 species